rnacentral:lncRNA from 1 species
UGAAAACUAAUGUACAUAGGUUGUGAGGCUGACACAUUAAAGUUUCCAUUUUCGACUUGUUAGUUUCCAUUCUCUGUUUGUUUGUUCUUCACUUUCUUUUUGAUUGGUUUUAUCCAUAAUUUUCAGGUUUUUCAAUCUUAUGAUCUCUGAUUUGGUUUGUGAUUUUUUAUUUUACGAGUCGAUCUUCUUCUGUAAGUUUAGAUCGCUUCUCAUUAACAUUUCUGAAUUCUUCUUCUUUCUUGUUUAAGUUUUAAUUUUAUGCCUCGUAAUAUUGUUUUUAUCUUCCUUCCUUUAUUUAUUGUAAUUCACGUUUGAAUAGGAUUUGCCUUGAUCUGAGCCAAAUUAUUCUGUUGAAUUUCCUUAUUUGCCUAGUCAGGGUUUUCACUCCUCUUUUCUGGAUUUGAACCCAUGGUAACAUGGCAAACCUCACCUCACCCUCUUUUUCUUUUGUUUAUUAUUUCCAUAUUAAGUGUGAGGUGUUAAAGAUUGAAUCUUUUUCAAACCCCCACUUCAAUUUAACAACAACGCCAGUAUAUUGUUUUGACUUUGAUUUAGUGCAUCAGUACCACCUGAAAGAAGCUACUGUGUUUGUGUUGCUGAAGAUUUGAAGAUCUUGCAUUUCUUAUGUCUAUAUCUUAGUUUGGUUUUGUAUUAUCGUA